AAGUGCGCAGGCGCCGGCAAGAUGGCGGGAGGGCUGCGCCCGCUGCGGGGCCUCCGCGCCUUGUGUCGCGUGCUGCUCUUCCUCUCGCAGUUCUGCAUUCUGUCGGGCGGUGAGCAAUCCCAGGCGCUGGCUCAGUCAGUAAAGGAUCCGGGCCCAACACGCACAUUCACAGUAGUUCCCAGGGCAGCAGAAAGUACUGAAAUCCCACCUUAUGUGAUGAAGUGUCCGAGCAAUGGUUUGUGUAGCCGACUUCCUGCAGACUGUAUAGACUGCACAACAAAUUUCUCCUGUAUCUAUGGGAAGCCUGUCACUUUUGACUGUGCAGUGAAACCAUCUGUUACCUGUGUUGAUCAAGACUUCAAAUCCCAAAAGAACUUCAUCAUUAACAUGACUUGCAGAUUUUGCUGGCAGCUUCCUGAAACAGAUUACGAGUGUACCAACUCCACCAGCUGCAUGACGGUGUCCUGUCCUCGGCAGCGCUACCCUGCCAACUGCACAGUGCGGGACCACGUCCACUGCUUGGGUAGGUCAGAGUUCAAGGACAUUUGUCAACAAAAUGUUUUUCUCUAAGUUUAUUGAAGGGACUUUAACCAGAAAUUUGCAAGUCAAAUUACUUAAUUAGAAACAUUUAUCAGCAGCUGUUUAGAUGUGCCAAGCAUCAUCAAUAAACUCAACGUACUAAAGUAAAGCAUCCAGAAAAUUGCAAUUCUUUUUAAAUGUAAUAUUUGAUAAACUAAGAAAAACAUUUUAAGUAUAAAGCGUAAUACACAGUAAUUGACCUCUACCCAAAAUAACAAUGAAAGCAGCACCAAUACCAUUGCGGCCGCCUGAGUGCCUGAGUGCUUGCCUUCACCUGGUUGCUC
rnacentral:sRNA from 1 species